rnacentral:rRNA from 1 species
AGUUUGACAUUAGCAGCUUGGUUGAUUAUAAUAUUAAUAGUUAACAAAACAUUAUUAGAUUUAGUAGAGGUGAUUGAAAUUUAAUGUUUCUUGCAUAAAAAUAGUACUGUGAAGGAAAAUGAAAAACUAAAAAAUAGAAGUAGUUAGAAUUCAUACCUUUUGCAUCAUGGCUUAACUAGAUUAGUCCCUAGAUGGGAAAUCUCGAAACCUAGUGAGCUAUCUUUAUUUCAUUUUAUAGAUUGUGAUAUUAAGUUGGUUGUAGCAAAAACUUCUUAAGAAGUAAAGAUAGAUAUGAAAUUUUAUUCGCGCCAGGUGAUAGCUAGUUCUUCUUUAAAGGCAUAUUAGUGCCCUAAAUCACAAGUUUGGCAGUGUAAAUAUGUAUUUAUAUUUGUGCAUGAUGGUUUAGUUAGACUUUUGAGGAUAAGCUCGAAAGUGAAAUAGAAUUGCAUCUAAUUUUUUUUAAAAUAUAAGCUUAGUAAUGGUUAUUAAUAAAAGAUUUUGUUAUAAUUCAUUUUCUAGUUACUAAUAUAAUUUAUUUGCUUCAUAGAUAAGAGAAGAAAUUUUAAUAACUGUGUUAUAAAAUAAUCUUAUGUUAGGAUGAGUAUUUAAUAUAUUUUUAAAUGAACUAACAAAUAUAAAGGUUAGUGUUAAAAUAAAUGUUUAUAAGAGAAAUCAUAAAAAGGAACUCGGCAAAGUCGUAUUCUGCCUGUUUAUCAAAAACAUGGCUUCGUGUCAAAAUUAAAAUACGAAGUCGGACCUGCCCAGUGAAUUUUAAACGGCCGCGGUACUCUGACCGUGCAAAGGUAGCAUAAUCAUUUGCCUUAUAAUUGAAGGCUGGAAUGAAUGGUUUGACAAGAAUACACCUGUCUCUUUUUGAUUAUUUAGAAUUUUAUUUUUGGAUGAAAAAGUCCAGAUAUUAUUAAAAGACAAGAAGACCCUAUCGAGCUUCAGAAAAAUUAGUAGGUUUUAUGUAAAUCUAUAUAAGUAAAAGAAAAGCUAUUAAAUACUUUGGUUGGGGCAACCGAGGAGUAAUUAGAGCCUCCUUUAAGUUUGUAAGUCUUACUUGUGUAGAUCCAGGAAUUUUGAUCAAAGGAAUUAGUUACCGUAGGGAUAACAGCAUUAUCUUUUUCAAGAGCCCAUAUCGAAAAAAAGGUUUGUGACCUCGAUGUUGGACCAGAAUGUCCUAAAGAUGCAGAAGUCUUUAAGGGUUGGUCUGUUCGACCAUUAAAAUUCUACGUGAUCUGAGUUCAGACCGGCGUGAGCCAGGUCAGUUUCUAUCUUUAUAUUUUUUGGUUAUGUUUAGUACGAAAGGACCAAUGUAACGUAUGAAGUAUUUUAAUUAGAUUAAAUGUAAUUUAACUUUAAG